CCCAUACAUUACCGGCCAGAGGCAGAGAGCAGUGCCUUGUGGAGCCAGGAAGGGCCUACUGAUGGUCACAAAAAUGUCUUUCCGCCUGGCGCCUGUGUGCUACUCUGACGGUGUUGUCUGAAUUAUGGACACAAGGCCCAAGUCUGCUUGAGUUUCCCUUGGAAAUUUUGGUUCUCAGGCAGAAGGGCUCAGGACAAACACCAGAGAACGUGGCAUGCCAAUUUAAGGAUUUAUUGCAUCUUAUAAUUCCACACUCAUUUGCACAUUCUGGCGAUGUCGUUCAUGGAGGUGAUGAUUACUGUGGGGGUUGGACUACGCACAGCCACUUUCCAAGAGCAAUGCAGAAUGGAGGUCUCUCAAGAUUGUACAGCUUAUUCCAAUGACUCCCUGGUGAUGACUCCAAGAUUCAUUAUAGGUAGGAGAUUUAUUCUAAUUCAACUAAUAUUAAUAAAAGUCUACCAUGUUGUAGGCAGUAAGUCAAGCACUGGCAAUAGGUGGAUAAAUAUAGUACAGAUCUUACCUUGUGGUAGCACAUAAUCUAAAAUAAAGAAGACAAAAAGAAAAGAAUGGAAAUUUGGUAGUAGGGAGAGAUUUUACCUUGGAGGUGAUGCCUGCAAACAUUUCUAGCCAUUGCAGAGGCACCAGCACCCUGAGCAGCGCUGCCAAGCUCCUUCUGCCAGGACUAAACUCAGCAUCGCACCAACAAGCCACCGUCGCUUUGAACUGUCUGUGUCAGAUAAGGUAAACUAUUAUAUGGCAAUGAAAAGAAAGACAAACCCAUGCUCCGUAAAUGAUGUUCAACUGUUGGGAUUAAUUUCUCAGCCGAACAGCAUCUUCAGCGUCUCUAAUACCAAAUGAUGCAUUACAAAAAACGAAACAGCCUUUCAGCCAUGUUCAUUAAGAAUCUUGUAAUUAAGAAGUUGCAAGAGAACACAGUGUCCCUCUCUCUGAUUACAGCCCAUGUUUAAAUAUGACAUCUAACAGUUAUAUUCUCUUAAUUCCUCAAAAUGAAGAAUAAAGUAAAAUCAAGACAGGUUAUACCUUUGGUGUUCUUUUUAUAAAUCAAGUCUUAUAAGGAAGAAAUUCCUCUAAAGCGUUUCAGAUUUGGCUCAGAUCAAAUAAAAAGGCAAACAUUACUGGGAAAAUUGCCAUUUGUCAACUGUUCCAUGUCAUAUCAUGUGAUGAUAGAGUUCUCUAAACAGCAAAUGUCAGAUGCUGACACUCUACCGUAUAAACUAAAACAAGGAGAAAAUCGAGCUUAAAUUAUCCAAAAAUAUUGGCAGCAGUACGUUUCUAGUUGAAUGGUGUUUGUGAUGACUAAUAUUUUCUUCCUAAGGUUCUAGCAUGCCUUCAUUUAUUUUCUAUAGGACAUCCCUGCGGGGAGAGACACAGAGAACACAAGAGAGUCGUUAUUUUUAAAGUUAACAAAGAAAAAAUGAUUUUGAAUCCUUGCUUAAUUAAAAAUGGAACAGUACAAGAGGGUGACUCACUUCUCCCGUAAGAAGCUGAAAAUUAAAAAUUAUGCAG
rnacentral:lncRNA from 1 species